rnacentral:rRNA from 1 species
GACGAACGCUGGCGGCGUGCUUAACACAUGCAAGUCGAACGGAAAGGCCCUGCUUUUGUGGGGUGCUCGAGUAGCGAACGGGUGAUUAACACGUGAGUAACCUGCCCUUGACGUUGGGAUAACUACAGGAAACUGGGGCUAAUACCGGAUAUGCGGUCGUGAUGGAUGGUGGGGGUGGGAAAGUGUCGGCGGUUGGGGAUGGACGCGCGGCUUAUCAGCUUGUUGGUGGGGUAGUGGCUUACCAAGGCGUGGACGGGUAGCCGGACUGAGAGGGUGACCGGCCCCAUUGGGACUGGGGAACGACCCAUGCUCCUUCGGGAGGCAGGGGUGGGGAAUUUUGCACAACGGGCGGCAGCCAGAAGGAGCACCGCCGCGUGCGGGAUUACGGCUUUACGGUUGUAAACCGCUUUCGCCUGUAAAGAGGCGUGAGUGCCGGUAAUGAAGAAAGAAGCACCGGCUACUUCCGU